GGACUCGUAGGGUAGAGGACAUCCUAGCGGGCUUCGGAAUGCAGUCGAAGACACCCGCUGACCUGGGUUCGAGUCCCAGCGAGUCCG
rnacentral:tRNA from 1 species